CUUCUUCAGUCAAAACCCUAAUUUGGAAUCGCUUUCUGAAGAUGAUGCCGGAGAAGACGAUAAUUACGUCGGAGAGUUCAAAUCCGUAUCCGUUAAACCCUUCAUCUUCGCGGAUUAUCUGCCAUGUGUGUAAUAAGCGGUUCUCGCAGUACACUUGUCCUCGCUGCAACUUCCGGUACUGCUCUCUUCCUUGUUACAAAUCUCACAGUGUCCAAUGUACUGAAUCUUUCAUGAGAGAGAAUGUAAAUGAUGAGUUGAAGCAAGUUCGAUCUGAUGAUCAAACGAAAACGAAGAUGCUCGAAAUUUUGAAAAGGUUUCACGAAGAAGAGGAGGAAGAUGAUGGAGGAAUUGACAGCAUCACGGAUGAUGAAGGUUCGAUCUUACCGGAGGAGAUUAUUGAGAAGAUAAUGAAUGGAGAUGAAGUAAGUCUUGAUGAUUUGAGCUUAGAAGAGAGAAAAGGGUUCCAAAGAGCCUUAGCUUCUGGAGAAUUAAGCAAAAUGAUUCAACCAUGGGAUCCUUGGUGGUUACGUGCUUCAGCUCGAACAAUCAAUCUUGGACUCGGAGGUACACAACUCGUUCAAUGUGUUGAAGAAGAAGAAGAAGAAGCCAUUGUUGUGAGUGAAGUUCCACGAGGGCCUGAUACACCUCUGAUUUCACUAAGCAAGCUCAGCUCAACGAAUCCAUCUCCUCUCUUACCAAUCCAUUUGAUUGAUAUCGUAUAUAGCUAUUGUUUUACUCUCCGUAUCUAUAAUGGAGAGUGGCAAUCUGAUUCGUUAGGUGCAGCAACAAUGGUGUUAACUGUUUCAUCAGUUUUGGGUCAGAAUGCACAACUUGAGACCAUUAAGGAAGUGUUGGCGUUUUGCUUGGAACAGACAUGCUCUUCGGCUUAUAAGAACCUUGGCGGCGGUUUAAAGUUCGGAUUCAUUCUGGUCGAUGAUGUGAUUUGUUUGCUUUCUCUUGGCUCUGGAGCUAUGGUAUGUCUGCUCUGUGAUCUCCAAAGGUUGAUUCUUGAUGCAAUAAAGGAAGUAAAAUCAUCAUCAGGGCGUGAUCUGAAGAAGAAACUUAAGCUUGCAGAAAGGAAAGUGUUCUUCAUGAUGUGUUGGGUCAAUGAGCAGAGUUCUGAAGUGUGGCAAGCUCUGGAAUCAUCAGUAAGGGCAGAGAAGAACUCGGUGGUUGAGCUCAACAAUUGCAAAGGGGUUCCGAAAAUGAAGAAAAUAGAUCAAUUCCAAAAAGGCGGUGGCGUGGUGAUUGAGGAGAUAGAAUGAGUUCUAAUGUUGUAGUUAUAGCUUGAUAAUGUAAGUUGGGUGUUCAAGCGGCGAAGAUGGAUCCAGAGAGAAGGUUGUCACUGAGCCUUUCAAGAUAUGGAAUAUGGCGGCUUGCUCUGUGACCUUCCAGGCUGUGUGAAUGACUACAUGAAAAUAUUUCAGUCUCAAUUGCUCUUGAUGGUAAAAUCAAGGCCUGGCUCUACGAUAAUGUUGGUUCUCGGGAUCAUUGCGACGCUCCAAGAUAGUGGUGUACAACGAUACUAAAUAGUGCUGAUGGAGGCAGGUACAUCAUUCUUUUUUCUGC